rnacentral:lncRNA from 1 species
GGGGCGGGCGGCGAGGAGGCGGCGGCGGCAGCGACCGCGUUUAAUUUUUUAACGAGGGCGGCUCGACAGUUCCCGGCGGGGUCGCAGCGCCGGGCGGCGAGGGGAAGCGCGGCCGAGCCGCCCCCGCCGCCCGGGACCCCGCGCAGCCCCAGGGGCCGGAGCCGAGCCAGCCGUCGGGGCUCCCACCUGGGCUUCGGCCAGCCGUGCCCGGAGCUCCGCCGUCCGCCACCAUGGGCAACGCGGAGGAGACGGGCUAUAUCCAGAUCUUUUCUCCAACUUAACAGGAAUUAAAACAGUGUUGACCCAAAGGGCAGAACGUCAUUCCAAAGAAGGAUCACAUACAACUCUACAGAAUAGACUGUUGGUUGGUAUGCCCUAGAAAAUGUAUGCAGAAAGUAAUAGAAAAUCAUACUAUUUAAUACCUACUAUGUUGAGGGUUAACGCAUAAAGAGAAGAAGG